GACGAACGCUGGCGGCGUGCUUAACACAUGCAAGUCGAACGGAAAGGCCCUGCUUUUGUGGGGUGCUCGAGUGGCGAACGGGUGAGUAACACGUGAGUAACCUGCCCUUGACUUUGGGAUAACUUCAGGAAACUGGGGCUAAUACCGGAUAGGAGCUCCUGCUGCAUGGUGGGGGUUGGAAAGUUUCGGCGGUUGGGGAUGGACUCGCGGCUUAUCAGCUUGUUGGUGGGGUAGUGGCUUACCAGGGCUUUGACGGGUAGCCGGCCUGAGAGGGUGACCGGCCACAUUGGGACUGAGAUACGGCCCAGACUCCUACGGGAGGCAGCAGUGGGGAAUAUUGCACAAUGGGCGGAAGCCUGAUGCAGCAACGCCGCGUGCGGGAUGACAGCCUUCGGGUUGUAAACCGCUUUCGCCUGUGACGAAGCGUGAGUGACGGUAAUGGGUAAAGAAGCACCGGCUAACUACGUG
rnacentral:rRNA from 1 species